UUAUUAUUAUGCCUCCUUGAAUUUCCCAAACUAAUAUCAGCGAGGGUGAUAUGCCUGUUAUGUCAUGUUGUUGUGCAUCAGGGGAAGAUUUUGUGCUUGCAAACGAGUGACAAAUGCUUUGUUAAUUCACAUUGAAAUGUAUUUCAGGUUAUCAAAAGGACGACACAAAUCUUUCUGGUCCUGGAUCAAUUUGUUCCGUGUGGUUUGUAAAAAAGAUAAUGUGCAGUUGGAAAAAUAUAAGAAUGUGGCUAUAUGAUUUAUCUCAUUAGUAUUUCACAUCAUUUGAGUUGGAGCUCUCCCUUCAGAUUCUUUGUGAACCCGUUGUGCCCAAGACAAACAUCACUCUCAUAUUUGUCUCCUUUCCCAAGACCUUUCGUCAUCUUUGUUCUUCACAGAUAUGCACAGCCUGAGCAAAACUACAUUCCACAGUAAGGCUGCGAGAACAGCUAGGAUGAAAACAGUGGUACCUGAGAAACAAAUAUGAACAUAAGGAGGCCUGAGACACUCUAGAUGGGAGUGAGAUAUUACCUUAGAAUGAUUCAGGCGUUCGGAAGUUCGGUUUUCGAACAAUGAAGCUAGAGCUGAACCAACUUUGGAUGGCCCCCUUGUACUUCUUUCCCUUGUAGCUCACAUCAGAAUAUCACUGAAAUGGUUCUGCUCAGCAUGUUUGGGUGUGCAGCAGAUUACCUUCUUUUUCCGCGUUUUCUGUUAGCAUUAGCAUUUGUUUCAAGUUGUAUUUAUUAUUGUAUACGUAGAGUAGUGAUUCAUUUAGUUCAGUAUCUGAUUCUUGUGUAGUAA